GACGUAGGGCGCGAGCGUUGUCCGGAAUUAUUGGGCGUAAAGAGCUUGUAGGUGGCUCGUUGCGUCGGGAGUGAAAACCUGCGGCUUAACCGCAGGCCUGCUUCCGAUACGGGCGAGCUAGAGUUCGGCAGGGGAGACUGGAAUUCCUGGUGUAGCGGUGGAAUGCGCAGAUAUCAGGAGGAACACCGGUGGCGAAGGCGGGUCUCUGGGCCGAUGACUGACACUGAGAAGCGAAAGCGUGGGGAGCGAACAGG
rnacentral:rRNA from 1 species